UGUUACCUAUAUAUCCGAGUUACACCUCCUCGCCCUACCUAUUGUUUGUUGUUUGCCAGCUUUGCGAGUUGUAGGCGAGUUUAGGGUCUUGUUGAUGUCUCGAAAUGUUCGGGAUAUCUUGUUGGGAAGUUGACACAUGUAACACCUUUUGAAAAUGAUGUUGAUAACUUUUGCUACAACUAAAAUUGAUAAGGGAUAAUAAUAUUGCAGAGGCAUCUGUGAGCCCCUUUGCGAAAGCAUCGGAUAUUUGUCUCGCUAAUGUCCCCUAGGACCCGAGUUCUUGUUAUCUGUUCUAAGGCUGAGCGCACUAACCACUCGCGGGAGAUUUUAUCGGGAUCCCCCAUCACCCAUUACCUUUUCUCAAGUCUGUUGAAAAGGGGGCCACAACCUUGGUUUUAUUUGCCUAUGCCAUGUAUGCCAUGUUUUACUUACUGUUGCCUUCGGGUGUUUACUUCCUGUUGCCUUCGGGUGUUUAUAUUCUGUACUGUACCUUGCGGGACGUUUAGCGAAGCGUGUGGUUUGCACGCCUAGCCGCCGACGCAAACCCUGAGUCCGCUUCGGAGUAUGGCCGGACUUCGAUACGGGUAGCUUAGUUGGGUGGCCCCCCUAGACUUUCUUGCAGAACUGGGAACGGUCUUGUCAUGAUAUCCUUCCUUCGCCUGGUUGGAGGAUAGAGCGUGCGUGUAUGGGAACAGUAGUGCACCCCUGCAGGGGUAUAUCUUUUCGGAAAGCCGUGUCCGCGGUUAUGGACGACUUGGAGCUGUUUAACUCGAUCAUAGAACAACUUACACCUAAUCUUGCCGCUAAUAACUUGCUAAUAAUCUGCGUAGUAAGUUAGUACUACUACAACGGAUAUGGAAUAAAAUUGUCAACUGUGUGAGUGCCUUGUUAGUACCUCUUGGCUAAGGGGGAUCGCAAUGGCUGGGUUAUGUUUGCAGAGUAUAGAACUGCUAGCUUAUGCGCUCUCUCAUCUUCUCUGAUAGACGAAUGUUGUAGCGUGUCUCUAUUGGUUAGUUGCUUUGCUACCGCUAAACUCCACAUAUAGCCGGGCGAAGUUUAUACCGCCCCCCAGCAAGCAUAGCUGAUCUUGUCUCGCAAGUACGUGCCAUUUGGUACUUACCCUCAUUUUUCUCUCUCUUUUUCCGGAACCCGCUUUUCGACAAACAGGUACGACAGAUGAUGAGCAGUACGCAGGACGCUACUUUGUCGAGUUCACGGACGACGACUUCGUUGCGUAGCAGGAUCGUUCCUAAGGCAGCAGCCUGUGGCUUGUUGGUUAUGGAUCCCGCUUGGUUAUCUUCAGGACUCUUAGUCCAAUUUGGAUCUUGUCUGUACCCAGACUAUUUGCUAUCUUUAUGUAUGAUGUACUGUUGGGAUAUGUUUCCCUUUUGAGUGUCAUUUGGAUCUUGCUCAGUAGAGCGUUGCUAUAUAUGAACUUUAUUUCCA